CCCUUGACAUCCCAGGACCGGCCCAGAGAUGGGUCUUUCACUUCSGUGACCUGGUGACAGGUGCUGCAUGGCUGUCSUCMGCUCSUGUCSUGAGAUGUUCGGUUAAGUCCGGCAACSAGCGCAACCCACAUCCUUAGUUGCCAGCAGUUCGGCUGGGCACUCUAAGGAAACUGCCCGUGAUAAGCGGGAGGAAGGUGUGGAUGACGUCAAGUCCUCAUGGCCCUUACGGGUUGGGCUACACACGUGCUACAAUGGCAGUGACAAUGGGUUAAUCCCAAAAAACUGUCUCAGUUCGGAUUGUCGUCUGCAACUCGGCGGCAUGAAGUCGGAAUCGCUAGUAAUCGCGUAACAGCAUGACGCGGUGAAUACGUUCCCGGGCCUUGUACACACCGCCCGUCACACCAUGGGAGUUGGGUUUACCCGAAGGCCGUGCGCCAACCUUUCGAGGRGGCAGCGGACCACGGUGAGCUCAGCGACUGGGGUGAAGUCGUAACAAGGUAGCCGUAGGGGAACCUGCGGCU
rnacentral:rRNA from 1 species